GAUGAACGCUGGCGGCGUGCUUAACACAUGCCAGUCGAACGAGAAGUGGAGACGGACACCUUCGGGCGGAAGACUUUACUUCGAGUGGCGGACGGGUGAGUAACGCGUGGGUAACCUGCCUCAUACAGGGGGAUAACAGUUGGAAACGACUGUUAAUACCGCAUAAGACCACAGCACCGCAUGGUGCGGGGGUAAAAACUCCGGUGGUAUGAGAUGGACCCGCGUUCGAUUAGCCAGUUGGCGGGGUAACGGCCCACCAAAGCGACGAUCGAUAGCCGAUCUGAGAGGAUGACCGGCCACAUUGGGACUGAGACACGGCCCAAACUCCUACGGGAGGCAGCAGUGGGGAAUAUUGCACAAUGGGGGAAACCCUGAUGCAGCGACGCCGCGUGAGUGAAGAAGUAUUUCGGUAUGUAAAGCUCUAUCAGCAGGGAAGAAAAUGACAGUACCUGAGUAAGAAGCCCCGGCUAACUACGUG
rnacentral:rRNA from 1 species